rnacentral:rRNA from 1 species
AUUGAACGCUGGCGGCAGGCCUAACACAUGCAAGUCGAACGAGUGGCGGACGGGUGAGUAAUGUCUGGGAAACUGACUGAUGGAGGGGGAUAACUACUGGAAACGGUAGCUAAUACCGCAUACCAUCGGAUGUGCCCAGAUGGGAUUAGCUUGUAGGUGGGGUAAAGGCUCACUCAGGCGAAGAUCCCUAGCGGGUCGGAGAGGAUGCCCAGCAACCCGGGAACUUAGAAACGGUCCAGAUGCUUACGGGGGGAAGCAGUGGGGAAUAUUGCACAAUGGGCGCAAGCCUGAUGCGGACAGGCCGCGGGUAUGAAGAAGGCUUUCGGGGUGGAAAGUACUUUCAGCGGGGAGGCGUUACCCGCAGAAGAAGCAACGGCGAACUACGUGCCAGCAGCCGCGGUAAUUC